UACGUAGGGUGCAAGCGUUACCCGGAUUUAUUGGGCGUAAAGCGUGUGUAGGCGGCCUGUCGCGUCUUUUCAUGAAAUCUCUCGGCUCAACCGAGAGCCUGUGAAGGAUACGGACUGGCUAGAAUGUAGCAGGGGCUGAUGGAACUUUGCAUGGAGCAGUGAAAUGCGUUGAUAUGCAAAAGGAACACCGACGGCGAAGGCAGUCAGCUGGGCUACUAUUGACGCUGAGACACGAAAGCGUGGGGAGCGAACGGGA
rnacentral:rRNA from 1 species